rnacentral:lncRNA from 1 species
CGGGAGUCUCCAUUCAGGCAAGAGCAUCGCAAACCCUGCCCAGGAGAUACUCCAAAUGAGGGAGCACGGGGCUGCAAGGAAGGAGGUGAGAGGCCGGCAGACAUUCCUGCUCAGCUGCAACCUAAAGAGGUGGAUAAACACAAGACUCAUCCCAUGGCUACCAAGGCCUCUGCAGGGGCGCGGCCACCUACCAAAGCUGCCCCAGACCAGAUAGCAGCAGGCGUACAACCUCCUGCUCAGGUACCCAACACAGAUAUACAGCCCAGCCAGCGACGCCAUGUGUGUGUGGACUGUGGACGCCGGUUUACCUACCCGUCUUUACUGAUCAGCCACCGUCGCAUGCACUCUGGUGAGCGACCCUUCCCCUGUCCAGAAUGUGGUGUUCGCUUCAAGAGGAAGUUCGCAGUGAAAGCACAUCAA